rnacentral:rRNA from 1 species
GAGUGAACGCUGGCGGUAGGCCUACCACAUGCAAGUCGAACGGCAGCACAGUAAGAGCUUGCUCUUACGGGUGGCGAGUGGCGGACGGGUGAGGAAUACAUCGGAAUCUACUUUUUCGUGGGGGAUAACGUAGGGAAACUUACGCUAAUACCGCAUACGACCUACGGGUGAAAGCAGGGGAUCUUCGGACCUUGCGCGAUUGAAUGAGCCGAUGUCGGAUUAGCUAGUUGGCGGGGUAAAGGCCCACCAAGGCGACGAUCCGUAGCUGGUCUGAGAGGAUGAUCAGCCUCACUGGAACUGAGACACGGUCCAGACUCCUACGGGAGGCAGCAGUGGGGAAUAUUGGACAAUGGGCGCAAGCCUGAUCCAGCCAUACCGCGUGGGUGAAGAAGGCCUUCGGGUUGUAAAGCCCUUUUGUUGGGAAAGAAAAGCAGCAGGUUAAUACCCCGCUGUUCUGACGGUACCCAAAGAAUAAGCACCGGCUAACUUCGUG